CAGGUUAGAGGAAAGUCCGGGCACCAUAGGACAUGACGCUGGCUAACGGCCAGGAGCAGUAAUGCUACAGAAAGUGCAGCAGAGAGAAGACCGCCGUUCUACGGUAAGGGUGAAAGGGUGGUGUAAGAGACCACCGCGGGACUGGUGACAGUUCCCGGCAUGGCAAACCUCGUCAGGUGCAAGGCCAAGCAGCAACUGGGUUGUCCGCCUAUAGUUGCGGGUAGGCUGCUAGAGGCUAUGAGUAAUCAUAGUCCGAGAUAGAUGAUUACAUAAACAGAACUCGGCUUAUCGAAGGCC
rnacentral:RNase_P_RNA from 1 species